rnacentral:rRNA from 1 species
AUGUCCGAUGACUAUCGGCGAUCACACACGUACCCGAUUGAGGUGGAACAGAUAGUGUUGCUUGACAUUAGGGGUAUGUUGCAGUCCAUGGGCAAAGACAUAGCUGAUUUCGCUCUACCAUGCAUUGACGAUGCGUUCGACCCAACCGAGGGCGAGGCCAGAGAAGUGAUCGAGGAAUCCAACGUCGAUUUUGACAUCAACGACACUAAAUUGGCUUCGUCGCUAAACUCGGAGCAGAGGGCUGCAUACGACGAGAUACUAGUUUCUGUUGAACGUGGUGAUGGGGGUGUGUUCUUUGUUGAUGGCCCAGGAGGUACAGGGAAGACCUUCCUGUACAGGGUGCUGCUCGCCAAGGUUCGAAGCAAGGGAAACAUCGCUAUCGCUACCGCGACGUCAGGCGUCGCCGCUUCUAUCAUGCCUGGAGGCAGGACUGCCCACUCGAGGUUCAAGAUCCCAUUGAGCUGCAACGAUGGCGCCUCAUGCACCUUCACAAAGCAGAGUGGUACCGCCAAGCUAUUGAGGAUGGCCUCAUUGAUACUAUGGGAUGAGGCUGAGGGAGUCCUGGACUAA